rnacentral:rRNA from 1 species
CAGCAGCCACGGUAAUACGUAGGGUGCGAGCGUUAAUCGGAAUUACUGGGCGUAAAGCGUGCGCAGGCGGUUCGGAAAGAAAGAUGUGAAAUCCCAGGGCUUAACCUUGGAACUGCAUUUUUAACUACCGGACUAGAGUGUGUCAGAGGGAGGUGGAAUUCCGCGUGUAGCAGUGAAAUGCGUAGAGAUGCGGAGGAACACCGAUGGCGAAGGCAGCCUCCUGGGAUAACACUGACGCUCAUGCACGAAAGCGUGGGGAGCAAACAGGAUUAGAUACCCGAGUAGUCCCUGUCUCUUAUAC